rnacentral:misc_RNA from 1 species
UGGAUCAUUAUCAUAGAUAAUGUUAAAGUUAUUAAUGGUUUCUUUCAAGAAUGGUUUAUAGUUUUUCUUCACAAAGCGCAUUGCUAUGUGGUAAACGGGUUCUGUGUUGUCUCGGGCACACAAAAGUCUUCCACAGUUGCCUGCUUCGGAACUUUCGUUGGAAUAGUUUCCAGAAUCAACAGACGACGCGAAGCCAUCCAUAUCAUCCUUUCAUAUCCCAAAGGUUUGGAGUGGUAAUGAUCCUUCCGCAGGUUCACCUACGGAAA